rnacentral:rRNA from 1 species
CCAUACGGCCAUACCACCCUGAGCACACCCGAUCUCGUCUGAUCUUGGAAGCUAAGCAGGGUUGGGCUUGGUUAGUACUUGGAUGGUAGACUGCCUGGGAAUGCCAGGUGCUGUAAGCU